GCGUUGUCUGCAGACCGAACAAGAAAAGCUGGUGGCUGUACAGUGAGGUGGGUGGAGGCGUGAGUUGCACCUGGCAGGGCCCAGAUUCCGUGCAGCCGCCUUUGCAGUAGGUGCCCACCGGCCACAGCGUCUUGAAGGCAAGUUUAUGGAGAAAUGCGGUCUUCCUUGGAGGAAAAGCUGGAAUAUCCUUAUUCUAAAAAUCUCCAAGUGAAAUGACUGAAUCUAAUCUGAAGUUAUUUCUGAGCUGCCCCAGCUGGUGAAGACUCCAGAAAUGGAAAGACCCAG
rnacentral:lncRNA from 1 species